rnacentral:rRNA from 1 species
UCGAGAAUAUUCGACAAUGGGCGAAAGCCUGAUCGAGCGACACCGCGUGCAGGACGAAGGCCUUCGGGUCGUAAACUGCGGUAGCAGGGGAGAAACGCAAGUGAUUGUACCCUGCGGAAAGAGGUGGGUAACUACGUGCCAGCACCAGCGGUAAUACGUAGACCUCAAGCGUUAUCCGGAUUUAUUGGGCGUAAAGAGUGUGUAGGGGGUUUUGUGCGUCUUCGGUUAAAGACCACCGCCUAACGGUGGA